CCCUUAGAUGUUCUGGGCCGCACGCGCGCUUCACUGAUGCAUUCAACGAGUUCCUACCUUGGCCGAGAGGCCUGGGCAAUCUUUUGAACUUGCAUCGUGAUAGGUAUAGAUUAUUGCAAUUAUUAAUCUUGAACGAGGAAUUCCUAGUAAACGCAGAUCAUCAAUCUGCAUUGAUUACGUCCCUGCCCUUUGUACACACCGCCCGUCGCACCUACCGAUUGAAUGGUCCGGUGAAGCCUCGGGAUUGUGGUUAGUUUCCUUCAUUGGAAGUUAGCCGCGAGAACUUGUCUAAACCUUAUCAUUUAGAGGAAGGUGAAGUCGUAACA
rnacentral:rRNA from 1 species